rnacentral:tRNA from 1 species
GGUUGUGGUUCAGUGGUAGAGCGCUCUCCUCGCACGUGCAAGCUCCUGGGUUUGAUCCUCAGCACCA